GGGUCUGCAGAUGCCAUCCAGGCGCACGGCGGGUAUAGUGGUUCCGCAACCUUGGGAUGUUCGGCUGAGCGCCUGCCUAACAUGGGAGCGCCUGCCUAACCCUCCUGACUGGAGGGUCAGCGGCGGGGAGUCCUGGCCUUCAAUCGGCCAUCGCCACGGCAGAAACUGGGGCCCGGGCUGCGUCCAGGCCCUUCCCCGUCCGUCCACAGGUCUCAUGGGCGCCCGGACUGGGGCUGAUGUAGUUUCCCGACCUCUGACACAUAGGAUCUGGAGAUUAAAGCUGCUCUGCUAAUAAUUAGGUUCCCACCUCUCAAGAUCAUUAGGAGCUUCUUUUCCAAUUCCUCUGUUUUGCAUGCAUUGGAAGGCCCCUGGAUCCUCCUGGAAUCCCUGAUCCCUGUUGCUCCCUGGCGGAGUUUUCUAGUCCCUCUUACUUGAAGCAUGUCUUUCAGAGCCCGGCACCACCCAAGUUGGGUAUCUGGUGAAUUCUGUGGUCUGCAUGUCCAUGUUUGUGACAUUCUGGGAAGGGUGGCCCAGGCUGUGAUUUGCCAUCUACUGCAGGCUAUGGAUGGUAUUCAGAAGGGAGGGGAGAUGCUGUGUGCGUGUUCUGAAGGGUUUCCCACUAAACAGACCAACCCUCUCCAUAACUAUUUGAUUUUUACUUUAUCUCCUCGUUGACUUCACAGUGUCAGUGCAGUUUGUGUAAACAUCUCUACGGGGUGAUGCAUGCAGAUAAAUGUUUAUGUGAACAUAUAAAGUCUGCAUGUGUGGGUGAACACUCCACAUCAGGUCAUUGUCCAUCAUUACAUAUCUGUGGUGUCUGGCUCAUUCCUCUCAUUUUCUGUCAUUUUACCUACUUUUACCUGAAGUACAAUGACUAUUUAAUAACUAUUAAAUGUUUCAUUUCAGCUACACCUCUAUGGUAUUUUUUUCACCUCAUAUCAUACCUUCCUCCCUCACUGGACUUCAGUGUGGGACCUGCAGGUCUCAGGCCUUCUGGGAAGUCCCAGCUUUUCUUGAAUGUUCUCUCUCUCUGGCCAGCUCAGGCUGGAGCAGUGGGUGUUGGUGCCAUCCUGUGGCUAUAGGUGAUAAGCCGGCUGUUCUUCACUGACCUGGUCUUACCUUGAACCCUGGAGUUCUCACAUGCAUGGAUUUAAAUGCUGUGUCUUUCUAAGGGCACAUUAUGGCCAUUUUCCUUAUCUCCCUCCCAAGGGGCUGUUUCCUGUAUUUAUUGACUCCCUGUUUAAAAAAAAUAUAUGUAUAUAUAGACAAAUUGGAUUGUACCCCAUAAACUGCAUGUUUUAAAAAUACUUCAAAGAAUAGUUUUUCAUUUUUUUCUUGCUGGUUUUUAUGUAUCUUCUAAAUUGUAUAUAUUUAUGGGGUAUAAAAUGAUGUUGUGAUUUUUCAAUACAGUGUGGAAUGAGAAUCAAAUUAACCUAUCCGUUACCUCAAGUACUUGACUUUUUUUGUGAUGAGAAGGCUGUUUAUCACUUUCACUCACCAGCUCCUGCUGUCUUCCAUGCUGGGGACAGGAAAGGCUCCACGCUUGACUUUCCCUCCUGUUUUCUUAUCUGCUGUCAACCCCUGAAUGUACCCUCCAGGAUUGACUUCUAGACCUUCUACAUCUAGCUCGAUCGUUGUGCACCCACCUUCCUCCCAGGGACUGUCCUUAGGGAGUGACUUUAUGCACAAACUUCACAUGCUCUUCCUGCCUCCUUCAUCCCCAGAAGCCCCCAUCUCAGCCCCAUCUGAUUAUUUCCUCCCUCUCUCAUUUCCUGUUAUGCUGUUGGUUUUCUAACCUGAAGGGUAACUUCUUACUCCUUAGUUUUUUGCCUUAAUUUCUAAGUCAUAGGCUACUUUCAGGCUAAAAGUUUUCCUCCAGCCAUGGUUUUAGUCUCAUUCUAUAAGUCUUGCUAGGUAGUUUAUUCAUUGGAAAUUUUUUGUUUUUGAGACAGAGUCUCGCUCUAUCACCCAGGCUGUAGUACAGUGGUGCCAUCUCAGCUCACUGCAACCUCCGGUUCCCGGGCUCAAGCAGUUCUCUUUCCUCAGCCUCCUGAGUAGCUGGGAUUAUGGGUGCCUGCCACCACACCCAGCUAAUUUUUGUAUUUUUAGCAGAGACGGCAUUUCACCAUGUCAGCCAGGUUGGUCUCGAACUCUUGACCUCAAGUGAUCCGCCCGCCUUGGCCUCCCAAAAUACUGGGAUUACAGGGGUGAGUCACCGCACCCCACCCCUUGGCACUAUAUUUAAGUGAUGAUAUUUUUGGACACUGAGGUAGCCUCAUUCCACAGGUUUAGAUCUGAAGCAUUUUCACUAUUGCUUCUUUCCAUGUAUUUCCUGGUUUGCAGGUCAGUUUCUUCUUUUAAUUCAUCAUUGACACAGUGGUUUAUAUGGCUUUUAAUUUCAAAAGAUUUUUUAAAAUAUCUUUUUGCCGAUUUUUAUCUAUGUUAAUUUUAACUAGACAUGUUCCCUGGAAGGACAUCACUAGUUUUUUUUUUUUUUUUCCCUCUGUUUAUAAUUUAGGUGGAUUUUCACAUCUCAAGCCAGCUAAGAGUAUGGGAAAUAGGACUCGUUAAAGCACAGGUAUCACACAAGUGAUUCAGAUUCACGAGGGUAAUCCAGAUGAAGGUAUAUCAUUGUACCUGGCCCGCAUCACUCAAUAACUGUCACCUUUGAUUUAUUGAUUUACUUGAGAUGGAGUUUGGUUCUGUCCCCGAGGCCGGAGUGCAAUGGCGUGAUCUCUGCUCACUACAACCUCUGCCUCCCAGGUUCAGAGUGAUUCUCCUGCCUCAGCCUCUUUAGCUGGGAUUACAGGCACCCACCAACAUGCCCAGCUAAUUUUUGUAUUUUUAGUAGAGAGGAGCUUUCACCAUAAUGGCCAGGCUGGUCUUGAACCUCAAAUGAUCUGCCCACCUUGGCCUCCCAAAGUGCUAGGAUUACAGGCUGGAGCUACGGAGCCCAGCCUGUCACCUUGAUUUAAAUGAAUGCAGCUUUCUUGGUGUCUUGAUGUUUGUGAAUUUCUGUGGAGUUUGAUACUGCUCCUUUUGCUGCUUGUUUUUCCAGAGUCCCCUUAUCACUUGACGUGCUGUUAUAUUAUGUUUGAUUUAUUACAGAUACCCCAUCAGCCUGAGUCUCUUAAAGGCCUUUAUACACAUAUGUCUACACAUAGGGAUUUGGAUGAUCUCGGGAUCCCACAUCCUCGCUGUCCCCUGUCCCCCCACAACAUCCCACACCAAUACCUUUCUGAAGUUUUCUAGUCCCUCCUUUUUGUUUGUGGUCCUUAAAGCCCAGCCCCAUGCCUGACUUUGGUUCCCAGUGAGCAUUGUACAUUUGUGGAUAUUAAAUCUUUGGCAAAGUCAU
ensembl:lncRNA LINC01535 long intergenic non-protein coding RNA 1535